GGCGGCGUGCCUAACACAUGCAAGUCGUACGAGAAAGUUGGCUUCGGCCGAUGAGUACAGUGGCGCACGGGUGAGUAACGCGUGGAUAAUCUGCCCUUAAGUGUGGAAUAACGUACCGAAAGGUGCGCUAAUACCGCAUAAUGCCUGGCAACAUAAGUUGUCCGGCCAAAGAAGGCCUCUGCUUGCAAGCUUUCGCUAAAGGAUGAGUCCGCGUACCAUUAGCUAGUUGGUGGGGUAACGGCCUACCAAGGCGACGAUGGUUAGCUGGUCUGAGAGGAUGAUCAGCCACACUGGAACUGAGACACGGUCCAGACUCCUACGGGAGGCAGCAGUGAGGAAUAUUGCGCAAUGGGGGCAACCCUGACGCAGCAACGCCGCGUGAGUGAGGAAGGUUUUCGGACUGUAAAGCUCUGUCGAGCGGGAAGAAGUGUACCAUGGCUAAUAUCCAUGAUAUUUGACGGUACCGCUAGAGGAAGCACCGGCUAACUCCGUG
rnacentral:rRNA from 1 species